AAGAAUUUCCUUUUUUUCCUCUCUCUCUCUUUAUUAGCUAAUGGCAAAGAGAAAUGUGGUUUUGGCAACAGGUUUUCAUUCCUUGAUUUGGAUACUGGACUACUGACUGUUCUCUUGAAAAUUUUAACUGCAAUAUGCAAGGAGCAGUUUCAAGAAAGGGAGAGGAAGACCCUAAUCAUGUGUAAGGUCCCUAACUUGAAAUUCUAAGUUAAUGUUGGAAGUGAGGAACCUAGGAACUGAU